rnacentral:lncRNA from 1 species
CCGGGGUACUAGCUCUCUUACAAAAAUCGCUCUUUGAACUAUCAAAUCUUUUCUUUCUUUUGAUUCUCUUCUCAAAAAAAUUAAAGAGAUCUAUAGGAGGAGUAAGAAAUCAAAUCUAAUCUGAUUUCUUUGUCCUUUUUCUCUUUUCAAGAGAAAGAAAAAGAUCUAGAAAAGGAGAUAAGAGAUCAAAUCUCUUUUCUUUUCUUUCGUCCAGCUUUUGGAUUGAAUUUAGAGAAGAAGGAGAGGAAGAUUC